AAAUCACUAUGGUUGUUUCCCUGGGUUGAUGAUGUUCAGAACCUCUGCAAAAUCAUUCCUAUGAUUCCACUUCUUCCCCUUGUUCCUUCUACCUUCAAAUCCAACAAAGUCACUCACACUUUGUUCCAGUGAGAGGAUUUAUGGUUAAACAGUCUCCCGGGCUGGAAUUUGGCCCAUUAGACUCCCAUCCACUUGCACAUGGAUGAGAGUAAUGAACUGCCUUUAAUACAAGGUGGUCUUUGGAUUUUCAAAGUUCUAUAAAACAAAUCUAAAUUGUUUGUUGAUUCCAGUGGAACUGUGGAAGUAGCGAAAGGGUUCCACAUCAUUGGUGAAGUAUGAAAAGCAAGCAGUGCUUAUUAUUGAAUCUCAAAGUGCAAUGCUGGAGCCUCGAUCUACAGGAACAGAAACAAGUCCUGCCUAGCAUCAAGACCUUAAACCACCCAAGGAACCAUCAAAGCUGGCCAACACCACUGAUGUUAGUAGAAGAGGCAAAAGUAAUAACUCCAUGCCAAAAAGGCUAA
rnacentral:lncRNA from 1 species